ACGGAAGGCAGCAGUGGGGAAUAUUGCACAAUGGGCGAAAGCCUGAUGCAGCGACGCCGCGUGGGGGAUGAAGGCCUUCGGGUUGUAAACUCCUUUCGCUAGGGACGAAGAUGUAUUUUGACGGUACCUGGAGAAGAAGCACCGGCUAACUACGUGCCAGCAGCCGCGGUAAUACGUAGGGUGCGAGCGUUGUCCGGAAUUACUGGGCGUAAAGAGCUCGUAGGUGGUUUGUCGCGUCGUCUGUGAAAUCCCGGGGCUUAACUUCGGGCGUGCAGGCGAUACGGGCAUAACUUGAGUGCUGUAGGGGAGACUGGAAUUCCUGGUGUAGCGGUGAAAUGCGCAGAUAUCAGGAGGAACACCAAUGGCGAAGGCAGGUCUCUGGGCAGUAACUGACGCUGAGGAGCGAAAGCAUGGGUAGCGAACAGGAUUAGAUACCCUGGUA
rnacentral:rRNA from 1 species